AGAUAUGGCUUGAAGCUCUUCAGCCUGGUGAAUACACAGUGAUCUUCACUUCAGUGGCUCUGCAGAGAAACCAUGUUGACGCCCUGUGGAUUCUGUGUUAUUAUCUUUCAGCUGUCUUUGGCAGCUGGAGUGAAUUCUGAUCAAACUGUUCAGAGGUCUCCAAUCAACUCCAAUCUAGGAAACAGGGAAUAUCUUCAGAAAAUAAUUCCAUCACCUCUACGCCCUGAUCCUGCAGUCGCUGGAAGUUGGCCAACUGAUCCUUACAGAGACACCAUGACCACACUAACAAGGGAGAUGAACACAAGAGUAGAUUUGUGGUUAACAGA